AACGAACGCUGGCGGCAUGCCUAACACAUGCAAGUCGAACGAAGCCUUCGGGCUUAGUGGCGCACGGGUGCGUAACGCGUGGGAAUCUGCCCUUGGGUUCGGAAUAACAGUUAGAAACGACUGCUAAUACCGAAUGAUGUCUUCGGACCAAAGAUUUAUCGCCCAAGGAUGAGCCCGCGUCGGAUUAGCUAGUUGGUGAGGUAAAGGCUCACCAAGGCGACGAUCCGUAGCUGGUCUGAGAGGAUGAUCAGCCACACUGGGACUGAGACACGGCCCAGACUCCUACGGGAGGCAGCAGUGGGGAAUAUUGGACAAUGGCGAAAGCCUGAUCCAGCAAUGCCGCGUGAGUGAUGAAGGCCUUAGGGUUGGUAAAGACUCUUUUACCCGGGUACUGAUAAUAGACAGUACCGGGA
rnacentral:rRNA from 1 species